rnacentral:hammerhead_ribozyme from 1 species
AUCAAGUUGACGAGUCUCAAAUAGGACGACACGUGCGUUCUCGAU